UGAAAUAAAGUGAAAUGCAUCCUGCCCAGAACAUUGACAUCUUGAUUGCACAUUGCGGCCUUGGGUUAGCCUGUGGCCACGCCUGUCCGAGAGUCGG
rnacentral:rRNA from 1 species